rnacentral:rRNA from 1 species
GUGGGGAAUAUUGCACAAUGGGCGCAAGCCUGAUGCAGCAACGCCACGUGAGGGACGACGGCCUUCGGGUUGUAAACCUCUUUUAGCAGGGAAGAAGCGAAAGUGACGGUACCUGCAGAAAAAGCACCGGCUAACUACGUGCCAGCAGCCGCGGUAAUACGUAGGGUGCAAGCGUUGUCCGGAAUUAUUGGGCGUAAAGAGCUCGUAGGCGGUCUGUCGCGUCUGCUGUGAAAACUGGAGGCUCAACCUCCAGCCUGCAGUGGGUACGGGCAGACUAGAGUGCGGUAGGGGAGAUUGGAAUUCCUGGUGUAGCGGUGGAAUGCGCAGAUAUCAGGAGGAACACCGAUGGCGAAGGCAGAUCUCUGGGCCGUAACUGACGCUGAGGAGCGAAAGCGUGGGGAGCGAACAGGAUUAGAUACCCUUGUAGUCC